rnacentral:rRNA from 1 species
ACGGCGAGUGAAGCGGCAAAAGCUCAAAUUUGAAAUCUAGCACUUUCAGUGUUCGAGUUGUAAUUUGAAGAAGGUAACUUUGGUUUUGGCUCUUGUCUAUGUUCCUUGGAACAGGACGUCACAGAGGGUGAGAAUCCCGUGCGAUGAGAUGCCCAAUUCCAUGUAAAGUGCUUUCGAAGAGUCGAGUUGUUUGGGAAUGCAGCUCUAAGUGGGUGGUAAAUUCCAUCUAAAGCUAAAUAUUGGCGAGAGACCGAUAGCGAACAAGUACAGUGAUGGAAAGAUGAAAAGAACUUUGAAAAGAGAGUGAAAAAGUACGUGAAAUUGUUGAAAGGGAAGGGCUUGAGAUCAGACUUGGUAUUUUGCGUUCCCUUCCUUUUUGGUUGGGUUCCUCGCAGUUUACUGGGCCAGCAUCGGUUUGGAUGGUAGGAUAAUGACAUUGGAAUGUAGCUUUACUUCGGUGAAGUGUUAUAGACUUUGUUGAUACUGCCUAUCUAGACCGAGGACUGCGUCUUUGACUAGGAUGCUGGCGUAAUG